rnacentral:rRNA from 1 species
GUGGGGAAUAUUGCACAAUGGGCGCAAGCCUGAUGCAGCCAUGCCGCGUGUAUGAAGAAGGCCUUCGGGUUGUAAAGUACUUUCAGCGGGGAGGAAGGGAGUAAAGUUAAUACCUCUACUCAUUGACGUUACCCGCAGAAGAAGCACCGGCUAACUCCGUGCCAGCAGCCGCGGUAAUACGGAGGGUGCAAGCGUUAAUCGGAAUUACUGGGCGUAAAGCGCACGCAGGCGGUUUGUUAAGUCAGAUGUGAAAUCCCCGGGCUCAACCUGGGAACUGCAUCUGAUACUGGCAAGCUUGAGUCUCGUAGAGGGGGGUAGAAUUCCAGGUGUAGCGGUGAAAUGCGUAGAGAUCUGGAGGAAUACCGGUGGCGAAGGCGGCCCCCUGGACGAAGACUGACGCUCAGGUGCGAAAGCGUGGGGAGCAAACAGG